rfam:Larimichthys crocea isolate SSNF unplaced genomic scaffold scaffold58, whole genome shotgun sequence.
UGUUUCCCUUUUUGUUAGUUGCUUUGGAUAAAAGCAUCAGCUAAAUGACUAAAU